ensembl:lncRNA
UGCUUUUAUUGACAAAAGAGUCACUUGCAACAUUAGACAAUGAUAUGUGGCUGAAUUACAUUGUCAUGGACAUUGUAUUGAGGUAAUUCUUUUGAAGAAUCAUAAAACUGCAAAUCAUAAUAUUCUUAGCAAUAAUUUUCUACUAAUUCUUUCUAGGUCUGGUCAAUUUUGAACUAGGACGUCAUAAAGGCGGAAAUCUUUGAUCUACCCAGUGCAUUUUUACACUAAAUUGAAAAACAGCACAGGGAAGUGUAGCAGAGGAAAACAAAGCAGAAGAAAGAGAAAGUGAAGAAGAACAAAUGGUUGACGAGAGAGGGCAAAAGGAAAACAUAGCCAAAUAGAAAGUAGAGAGGAAGAAGAAAUACCUAAGAAAAGAGAAAAGGACAAAACAGCUCAGGGAAGAAACUAUACAGUUCUGGGAAGGCUGUAAGUGUCAGGCACCAAAAGAAAGUACACAGUCACUCAAGAUGAACUGAAGAGAAGAAUCAUGGCAGAAAACAUGUCAAACAACAUGUUAAGUAGCCUGAUUAGGGUUCGUAAAGAGGAUCUCCCUCAGGAGCUCAGAGAACAACCGCCAAUAAAAGCCAAGACAAAAAUAAGCAUCUUCUCUGCUCUCAGUGAAGGAGAGGCCACAGAUUAGCCCAGGAGCUGGGAGCCAUGCUAGGGAGACAUGUAAACGUAGGCAUGAUUGCAAGUGUUCCCAGUGCUGAGGCAGACAUUGCAAAGAAUAGACUCUGCACUCUCCAGAGCUUGCUGAGGGGAAAACUGGGAGAGGAAACACCUUUUAGUCUGCUGACCCAUACAUUUGGACCACAAGUUGUAGAUUUGAUCUACUGAUCUCAUUUUUAAUCAGUCAGUUUAAGUAGAGGUACACUGAGCCAGUGAACACAAUAACAAAUGAAUUUAAAUUGUUACAAACAUUGUCAUCUCAGUUAAUUAAGUAAUGUUACAGUUAAUUGAUUUAAAUAUACAACAUAUCACUGUUAGAGAACACAUUCAGAAAGCA